AACCCAAAGGGCUAAGUCUUCUUUCUUAAUUUUUAAAACAAGCAUGUGUUUUGUUCUUUACAUGAAUCGUCGGUUCUCCCAGUGUGAUCACGACACUGUCCCAUGCUGAUUCCAUGCACGGUGCAACUCUUUCCCAAGAGAGAUUCUAACUCAGGACACCUGGGAGAGGACCCGAGCUGCAUUUCUCACAGCUACCAGAUGCUGCACGCUGGCAAGGUUUUGGGAUGCACUGAAUCCAGUUCAGCAUGUUUACUGAGCAUAUACCACAUAGAGAGCCCAGAUGAUAAAAAAAUGAGAAGAUGGGUUGUACCUGCCCUUGAGGAGCUAACAAGCUUGUAAACUGAGGCCCAGAAAGGUUCAGCCAUCUGCCUGAGGUCACACAGCCACAGUUUGGACCUGAGCCAUCAAUCAUCCACCAAAAGCCUGCAUUGACCCUAGAAGAUUCCAUUGCAUGUUGUCAAGGCGCUUAGUUUCUCUCUUGUGUCUCCCCAAAACAUAAACCUGGAAUGGAAGAGAGCCACUUACUCUAUAGAUGCUUUUAGCUCAGAACGCUUCAAGCUUUUGGAGUAUGAGAAAUAAUAACAAUCAUUCCAUUCUUUCCUGGAGUUUGAUCUCAGCUGUUGGUGAUAUUGUUGGGACUGAUUUGCUAUCUAUAAAGCCAAAUUUGAGAAAAGACAGGUUAAAAAUAAACAGGGAGGAUGAUGGUAGUAAAAAUAA
rnacentral:lncRNA from 10 species